GAUGAAGAACGCAGCGAAAUGCGAUAAGUAAUGUGAAUUGCAGAAUUCAGUGAAUCAUCGAAUCUUUGAACGCACAUUGCGCCCGCCAGUAUUCUGGCGGGCAUGCCUGUCUGAGCGUCAUUUCAACCCUCAUGCCCCUAGGGCGUGGUGUUGGGGAUCGGCCAAAGCCCGCGAGGGACGGCCGGCCCCUAAAUCUAGUGGCGGACCCGUCGUGGCCUCCUCUGCGAAGUAGUGAUAUUCCGCAUCGGAGAGCGAUGAGCCCCUGCUGUUAAACCCCCAACUUUCCAAGGUUGACCUCAGAUCAGGUAGGAAUACCCGCUGAACUUAAGCAUAUCAAUAAGCGGAGGA
rnacentral:misc_RNA from 1 species